rnacentral:rRNA from 1 species
CCUACGGGAGGCUGCAGUGGGGAAUACUGGACAAUGGGCGAAAGCCUGAUCCAGCCAUGCCGCGUGUGUGAAGAAGGCCUUCGGGUUGUAAAGCACUUUCAGUGGGGAAGAAAGCCUUGGGGCUAAUACCCUCGAGGAAGGACAUCACCCACAGAAGAAGCACCGGCUAACUCCGUGCCAGCAGCCGCGGUAAUACGGAGGGUGCGAGCGUUAAUCGGAAUUACUGGGCGUAAAGCGCGCGUAGGCGGUCUGAUAAGCCGGUUGUGAAAGCCCCGGGCUCAACCUGGGAACGGCAUCCGGAACUGUCAGGCUAGAGUGCAGGAGAGGAAGGUAGAAUUCCCGGUGUAGCGGUGAAAUGCGUAGAGAUCGGGAGGAAUACCAGUGGCGAAGGCGGCCUUCUGGACUGACACUGACGCUGAGGUGCGAAAGCGUGGGUAGCAAACAGGAUUAGAUACCCCUGUAGUC